CCGUGAAGCGGAGGACGUCGAGGAGCGUGUUCCAGGCGAGGAUCAGAAAGGCCCAGAGCCACAAGAGGAGCGUGAAAGCACCGCCGGCGUGGAGCUUGCGGGACACGAGCGGGCGCCGGGACUGGUGAGGGAUGGUGGGGAGGGAGUGGGGGUCGGAUGCCUUGCGGGUGCAGGCGAGGAGGAGCGACAUGAGUGAGGUGCCGUCGCCGAGGGAGUGGUGGACGCGGAGGACGGCGACGGCGGCGGCUUCGGAGGUGGGGAAGUUGAGGACGUGGAGGUCCCAGAGGGGGCGAGAGCGGUCCAAGGGGGCGCUGGUGAGGGAGGCGACGUAGUCCUCCACGACCUGGUCCGGGGAAGCGGCGGCGCG
rnacentral:lncRNA from 1 species